rnacentral:rRNA from 1 species
GGACUGGGGCGAGCAUGACGUAGCGACACCGCGUGAGCGAAGAAGCCCUUUGGGGUGUAAAGCUCUGUCAGCUGGAACGAACACAAUGACGGUACCAGCAGAGGAAGCAUCGGCUAACUACGUGCCAGCAGCCGCGGUAAGACGUAGGAUGCAAGCGUUGUCCGGAUUUAUUGGGCGUAAAGAGUUCGUAGGCGGUUAGUUAAGUCUGGUGUUAAAUCCCGUGGCCCAACCACGGAGCUGCAUUGGAUACUGGCUAACUUGAGUGCGGUAGAGGUGAGUGGAAUUCCCAGUGUAGCGGUGAAAUGCGUAGAUAUUGGGAAGAACACCGGUGGCGUAGGCGACUUACUGGGCCGUAACUGACGCUGAGGAACGAAAGCCAGGGGAGCGAAUGGGAUUAGAUACCCCCAGUAGUCAA